UCUUCCCUCUUUCUUUCUGCUUCCCCCCUGCACGUCGACCGGACUCUUCGGAGUUAGUGGCGGACGGGUGAGUAACGCGUGAGAAUCUGGCUUUGGGUUCGGGACAACCACUGGAAACGGUGGCUAAUACCGGAUGUGCCGAGAGGUAAAAGAGAAAUUGCCUGAAGAUGAGCUCGCGUCUGAUUAGCUAGUUGGUGAGGUAAAGGCUCACCAAGGCAGCGAUCAGUAGCUGGUCUGAGAGGAUGACCAGCCACACUGGGACUGAGACACGGCCCAGACUCCUACGGGAGGCAGCAGUGGGGAAUUUUCCGCAAUGGGCGAAAGCCUGACGGAGCAAUACCGCGUGAGGGAAGAAGGCUCUUGGGUUGUAAACCUCUUUUCUUAGGGAAGAACAAAAUGACGGUACCUAAGGAAUCAGCAUCGGCUAACUCCGUG
rnacentral:rRNA from 1 species